CAGUGGGAGCACGCUUAGGCGUGUGACUGCGUACCUUUUGUAUAAUGGGUCAGCGACUUAUAUUCUGUAGCAAGGUUAACCGAAUAGGGGAGCCGAAGGGAAACCGAGUCUUAACUGGGCGUUAAGUUGCAGGGUAUAGACCCGAAACCCGGUGAUCUAGCCAUGGGCAGGUUGAAGGUUGGGUAACACUAACUGGAGGACCGAACCGACUAAUGUUGAAAAAUUAGCGGAUGACUUGUGGCUGGGGGUGAAAGGCCAAUCAAACCGGGAGAUAGCUGGUUCUCCCCGAAAGCUAUUUAGGUAGCGCCUCGUGAAUUCAUCUCCGGGGGUAGAGCACUGUUUCGGCAAGGGGGUCAUCCCGACUUACCAACCCGAUGCAAACUGCGAAUACCGGAGAAUGUUAUCACGGGAGACACACGGCGGGUGCUAACGUCCGUCGUGAAGAGGGAAACAACCCAGACCGCCAGCUAAGGUCCCAAAGUCAUGGUUAAGUGGGAAACGAUGUGGGAAGGCCCAGACAGCCAGGAUGUUGGCUUAGAAGCAGCCAUCAUUUAAAGAAAGCGUAAUAGCUCACUGGUCGAGUCGGCCUGCGCGGAAGAUGUAACGGGGCUAAACCAUGCAC
rnacentral:rRNA from 1 species